UGCGUUCAUCCGCCGCCCGGGCGCGACGCGCUGCAGCUCAGCGACGCGGCUUCUAGAACGGGGUGAUUGAACUAAGCCUUCGCCGCACCGAGUUUGCAGUACGGCCGUUACCCGCACCGCGGCCCGCUUGCGGUUGGAGAAAUCAAGGCCCUACCGGGCCUCCGUAGUCACCUCUCUGUAGUGGGCGUGGCCGAGGCCGGGGUGACCCUGCCGGAGCCACCGCUGUUAGCGACAUGUUCAAGGUAAUUCAGAGGUCCGUGGGGCCAGCCAGCCUGAGCUUGCUCACCUUCAAAGUCUAUGCAGCACCAAAAAAGGACUCACCUCCCAAAAAUUCCGUGAAGGUUGAUGAGCUUUCACUCUAUUCAGUUCCCGAGGGUCAAUCGAAGUAUGUGGAGGAGGCAAGGAGCCAGCUUGAGGAAAGCAUCUCACAGCUCCGACACUAUUGCGAGCCAUACACAACCUGGUGUCAGGAAACGUACUCCCAAACUAAGCCCAAGAUGCAAAAUUUGGUUCAAUGGGGGUUAGACAGCUAUGAUUAUCUCCAAAAUGCACCUCCUGGAUUUUUUCCAAGACUUGGUGUUAUUGGUUUUGCUGGCCUUAUUGGACUCCUUUUGGCUAGAGGUUCAAAAAUAAAGAAGCUAGUGUAUCCGCCUGGUUUCAUGGGAUUAGCUGCCUCCCUCUAUUAUCCACAACAAGCCAUCGUGUUUGCCCAGGUCAGUGGGGAGAGAUUAUAUGACUGGGGUUUACGAGGAUAUAUAGUCAUAGAAGAUUUGUGGAAGGAGAACUUUCAAAAGAAAUUCCUCGGCUCUCUAAACACAGCAAAGUUUGGCUGAAACCAGGAAAUGUGAAGAAUUCACCUGGAACUAAGUAGAAAACUCCUUGCUCUGCCAUCUUAAUCAGUUAUAGGUAAACAUUGGAAACUCCAUAGAAUAAAUCAGUAUUUCUACAGAAAAAUGGCAGAGAAGUCAGUAUUGAAUGUAUUAAAUUGGCUUUCUUCUUCAGGAAAAACUAGACCAGACCUCUGUUAUCUUCUGUGAUAUCAUCCUACAAGCAAACUAAUCUGGAAUCCCUUCACCUAGAGAUAAUGUACAAGCCUUAGAACUCCUCGUUCUCAUGUUGCUAUUUAUGUACCUAAUUAAAACCCAAGUUAAAAAAAAAUCCGGUA